rnacentral:lncRNA from 1 species
GUUGAGUGGAUAAUCUGUCUGUACCCUUUGUUCGGUGUGUGUUCACUUUAUGUGCUGUGAAAAAUUAUUUUAAAAUAAAAUUGCAUCCUUCUUAUCAUGAUUUAAACUACAGCAGAAGAUGUGGUCAAUUGGCACAAUCAGCAUCUGCCCUUCAAUCUGAAGCUGUUGAAUUGCUUUACUUGGUCAUGUGAGUUUCAGGUUGUAUCCCUUCAUGUACUGCUAUUCUUGGUGACUCGGUGAAGGAAAUGUUUUCUUUGACCGACAGAUUUGGAACAAUUUGUUGUCUUUCUUUAUGUUGGCUGCAGGGUUGAAUUCAAUAUUUGUUAUCUGGUCAUUGAGAUAAAAGCAUGGUUGCUGAACUUUUCUUUAACAUAUGCACGUGCACAUCUGUAUCAUCAUUUUCUUUUAAUUUGAGUUAGUGGCCCCCCUUACGUUUUGACCUGUACAGGGUGUGGUUUUGCAAACGUGGUGGCUACUGUAAGCAUCU